rnacentral:rRNA from 1 species
UACGAAGGGGGCUAGCGUUGUUCGGAAUUACUGGGCGUAAAGCGCGUGCAGGCGGGUCGUUAAGUCGGGGGUGAAAGCCCAGAGCUCAACUCUGGAACUGCCUUCGAUACUGGCGACCUGGACCCAAGUAGAGGCGGGUGGAAUUGCGAGUGUAGAGGUGAAAUUCGUAGAUAUUCGCAGGAACACCAGUGGCGAAGGCGACUCGCUGGACUUGUGGUGACGCUGAGACGCGAAAGCAUGGGUAGCAAACAGG